rnacentral:rRNA from 1 species
AGAAUCAACGCUGGCGGCGUGCCUAACACAUGCAAGUCGAACGAGAAAGGGGUAGCAAUACCCUGAGUAAAGUGGCGCACGGGUGAGUAACACGUGACUAACCUACCCUUGAGUGGGGGAUAACUGAGGGAAACCUUAGCUAAUACCGCAUAAUACCUACGGGUCAAAGGAGCAAUUCGCUUCAGGAGGGGGUCGCGGCCGAUUAGUUAGUUGGCGGGGUAAUGGCCCACCAAGACAGUGAUCGGUAUCCGGCCUGAGAGGGCGCACGGACACACUGGAACUGAAACACGGUCCAGACUCCUACGGGAGGCAGCAGUGGGGAAUUUUGCGCAAUGGGGGAAACCCUGACGCAGCAACGCCGCGUGGAGGAUGAAGUCCUUCGGGACGUAAACUCCUUUCGAUCGGGACGAUUAUGACGGUACCGGAAGAAGAAGCCCGGCUAACUUCGUGCCAGCAGCCGC